GACGAACGCUGGCGGCGUGCUUAACACAUGCAAGUCGAACGGAAAGGCCCUGCUUUUGUGGGGUGCUCGAGUGGCGAACGGGUGAGUAACACGUGAGUAACCUGCCCUUGACUUUGGGAUAACUUCAGGAAACUGGGGCUAAUACCGGAUAGGAGCUCCUGCUGCAUGGUGGGGGUUGGAAAGUUUCGGCGGUUGGGGAUGGACUCGCGGCUUAUCAGCUUGUUGGUGGGGUAGUGGCUUACCAAGGCUUUGACGGGUAGCCGGCCUGAGAGGGUGACCGGCCACAUUGGGACUGAGAUACGGCCCAGACUCCUACGGGAGGCAGCAGUGGGGAAUAUUGCACAAUGGGCGGAAGCCUGAUGCAGCAACGCCGCGUGCGGGAGGACGGCCGUCGGGUUGUAAACCGCUUUCGCCGGGGGCGAAGCGUGAGUGACGGGAAUGGGUAAAGAAGCACCGGCGAACUACGGG
rnacentral:rRNA from 1 species